UACGGGGGGGGCAAGCGUUGUUCGGAAUUACUGGGCGUAAAGGGCUCGUAGGCGGCCAACUAAGUCAGACGUGAAAUCCCUCGGCUUAACCGGGGAACUGCGUCUGAUACUGGAUGGCUAGAGAUUGGGAGAGGGAUGCGGAAUUCCAGGUGUAGCGGUGAAAUGCGUAGAUAUCUGGAGGGACACCGGUGGCGAAGGCGGCAUCCUGGACCAACACUGACGCUGAGGAGCGAAAGCCAGGGGAGCAAACGGG
rnacentral:rRNA from 1 species